GGCCGGGCGCGGUCAGGAGGGGAGGCGGGAGAGGCCGCGGGAAUCCCGCCCGGAGCGGCACCGGCACCGCUCCUGCAGCAACAGAGACUUGUUAUUCACGCUCGCUUGGGUGUUCGCGUGCUGGUGUUUUUAAUGCCUCUUACGGGCAGGGUUACGUGUUGCAGGUAGCUACAGGGAAGGAGCGAGCACCACCGAGGCCACAGCAAGGGUCUUUUCCUCUUGUGUGAGCCAUGCUCCUCGCAGCUGCAUCCUGCCGCAGGAAGAGUACGGCAUAAAUCGUAAUGGAAGGUUGUUGUCUCUUCUAAAAGGUUGGCUGAUGUUCAGAAGAGCGUCUUGCUAUGAGACGGGGAGAGUGAGUUGAAAACCAGGAGCUGUGGAGGCGGUAGAGACUGGGACAGUCGGUUCAAUGCAAUUACAACCACAGUUACAGUUGUUUCUUCAGUUUGGUAUUUGCAGGUCUUUCCUGGUUCUGUGAGAAGAUGGGAAAACAGAGGAUUGUUUUCUCUACUUUUUUUUUCCUUUUAAAUAUUUUAAGUCUAAGGGCAGAAAUAAGCAUAUUAGAUGUUUUCAAUGACAGUUUCAGUUCCAGGUGGUCAUCACUAAUGACUUACCAAUGCCCAAUAUGAGGGGUUGCUUCCAAUUCAUAUUCCAUGAGCAAGGCUAAAGAGCUUUUGAAGCUUGGUCCUGAUCUUCUGUAUGAGAUGAGUUUAAAUCAGUGGCAGUCAGGAGAAAUACCAGGGCAAUGUGCCUGUGGAGAUGGAGACAGUGCUGCUGGUUUUUGUGUGUAGAACAGACCCCAGUGAGUAAAUUGCUCUUUCUGUGGCAGAGAGGACACGUUGCAGGAGUUUUCCUGUACAGCCAUCAAACCUGAUUUGUGUAGUGCUGAGCUGGAGGCAGCGAUGGCCAACAGGACUGUCUCACUGACAGGAACUGGGACUGCAUCCUCGUGCCAGCCUUGAGGAAGGCUCUCAGCACUCUUCAUGCACUCCUUCAUUAAAACUACCUUUCCGUACAGGUUGUUUAGAUUCAAAACAAGUGACAAAAAGGCUUUUUUACAAUAUUUUUCAUUUUCUCUCUUAUUUACUGCAUGUAAGCAAAAGUAAAUUUGCAGAAGCAAAAGAAAUAGAUUACUCUGAAAUUCUGGUGUGGCUGACUUAACACUGACACUGAAUAAAAAUAAUGAAAAAGCUUGGAAAGAAGAGUUCUUGCCUGUUAUUCCUAGGUAUAAUUACAUGUCCUUUUGUAGUUGUAGAAAUUCCAGCUUUGUCCUGAAGGAAGAUUCAGUAUGGAAAUAAUUUGCCAAAUUAUGUUGAAUUAUGCUAUCUAAUGUAAUUGUGGACAUGUUUUUCUGGGACAUAGGAGUAUUCUGAUUUUUUCUGUAAGAAUUCAUGUGAGGGGUGCAGCUGAUUUUCUUCUUGAUCUGUACUGAGCUCUAUAUUCUAGACUGAGGGACUGAAUUACAGGCCCUAAAUCUCAAUUUGAAAGAAGGGAUGUGUCUGUCUGUUGGUAAUAAGCAAUAGCUGCAGAACAGCCUACACAGACAGACAUGGUGACUUUCUCAGUUUGGUUAUUUGAGUUGCUUUGAAAUGGGAUAACCAAGGGAACUAAACAUUUGCUUAGUCUUACAGUAACAAUAAUCUUUCUAAGCCUUGGUAAUAUUAAUCUUUCUGAGCCUUUGUGACCUGAAAGAGGCCCAGCUUUGGUUGUGACAAAGGCUUUGUCAAUGAGAAGUUCACCUUCGUGUCUAACAGAGAGUCAGCUGUUAAACUCCUGGUAAAUACAAUUCCAUUAUUGACAGUGCAGAGUGAGCUCUUAGUAAAACUAUAAAUGACAAAUGAAACAGGUCUGCUUUACCCCCUAGGGCUUCUUUAGAUCAACAGUUCUUUAAAUACCAGGAAACUGUCAAUUGAAGAUAAUAACCUGUAUUAAUAAGUUAAGGAAUUAUGUCAUUUGCUUGCAUAACUCAUGUCAGUACAUGCAGAUUUUGUUAUUCUAUCAAUAGUUUCCAAGGUAUUUAAGCCAGUAUGUCUGAGAGCCCAAGAGAACUUGAAGGGUUUGAUGUCCUCAUUACAGAACUUUACCUGGUAACAGGUCCUGUUCUUCUCAGCUGAAAAUUUACAUUCCUGCAGAUCAGUAGCCCAGGGAUGGUGGUUUGGCCCCUACUGUGCAGUAUUACAUAAUAGAUAUUACAUGUUUUUUCAAUUAAUAUUUUGAUUUUUUCUAAAUUAUGGAAAAAUUCUCCUAAGAAAGCUUAAGCCAGAGAAUGUUUUGACUGGUACCUUUAAUUUUGAGUUUCAUGUAGCUGAAUUCAGCACUAGGAACAGUUGAAUGUGCAUGUCAGCAACUGAUGUAGGCUUUCACUUAGUAAUGAAAUUCUUUGGCUUCUCUCUUUUCUUUUUUUUUUUCCUUUUGUCUCUUGCAGCUAUGUCAGUAUGUGCUUAAUUACUGAUUUUGAUAGCUGUUUCUGCUAACAAAAGAAUGUCACCAUACUGUGAUUUAUAUUAAUACUCACAGUGCAGUGUGCACCUGAAGAACAUGCAGCUGCUGGCCAGUGGGGGACCUGAUGCCUCCUGUGCCUUGCAGACUGUAAAAUUUUCUCUUCUCUCUUUUCUGUCAUGCAGCCAGAUGAGGCUUGUUGUCCUGGUCCUGAAGUGGCAAGGUAAAGCCUUGGUUCUUGGGCUUAAGGCCUUUGUUGUCAUUUUCAGAGGUUCUGGAAUAUUGUUCUAGGACUGACAAGAUCUUAGAACAUAGCACCAUGGAAAAAAUAACUCUAUUAUUAAACCUCAUUUGAAAAUAUAUACCCCUUUGCCUGUGCUGCCUUUUUUUACUUUUUCUCUGUUUUUUCUUCCAUCUUCACAAAUGCAUUUCUUACUUGUGUCAAGCAUCAUGCUCCUCCUUCAGCAAAUGAGUUCAUAAAGCCAGGAGAACAAGAUAAUCUGUAAGCAUGAGAUUUAAGACUACUGGCAUGUUUAUUCUAGCAGCAAGGACUAUUUCAAGUACAGAUUUAUCAAGGUGAAGAGUUUUCUGUGAUUGAAGAUUAGCAAAGACAACUCCAUUUAAUAUGAGAGAAACAUUUGGAAUGGUUGCAAAUGCAGUCAGAUGCAGUAGAAACUUCAGAAUGUAUUCUCAAGCGAAGAAUACUAAAGGAAGUUAUGAAGAUAACAGGAAAUUAAAUAAAAGUUAGUAUUGGUUAACCAAGGGGAAAUGGGAAAUCAGGCCAUGUCCCUUAAGAGGGUAACUGGUUUUCUGGGCAGAAAAAUAAAGUGCAUGUAAUCUUGGACAACCUCAAAAUAUUCUUCAUAGGGAAAAAAGGAAUAGGACAGAACUUCAAAGGGGAAUGAAGUUGGAUAAAGAGGAGGGAAAUGUAUGUUUCUUUUGGGGCAGCACAUUGGUGUGUAUAUUGAUAGAUUAACCUAUCAGCUAUAUGGAGUUUGCCUGAGUUUCUUAAAGUUAUGUGGACUAAUCUUAUUUAAUGAAUAACUGUGAUACAAUAUUAAAUUUGCUGAUGACACAGUUAUUAAUACAGAGGGGAAUUAUGAUAUCAAAGCUGAUUGAAAGGACCUCGAGGACCAGUAUAAUUGGAUUAAUUGUAUUAUCCAAAGUACAGCACUGUUCAGGUAAAGCUAAUACUGAGAAUGUAUACCAUUGAGAUGGGACUUAAUUUUAGGUCAGUGUGGAUGACACUGGUAAUUGACCACAAGAUUAACUGUUACCACAUUUCUCCUCAUGGAGAAAAGCAAGGCACAGCUUUUCCCAGGAUUUUUUUGGAUUCACGUUCUCUGAACAUCAGAGAAAGAGAAACACAGUUCUUAUCACUUGCUGUGCCUGUGUUGUGCCAAAGUAGAAUGGAAUGUGGAGAUUGUUUACCCAAAGUGAGGAUGUUUUCUUCCCUUGGCCAGUCAAGGCCAGGAGUGUAUCUGUGGCCAGACUGUGUGAGAGCAGUCAGCGAGAGUCAUGGAAGAGUGAGAGAGAGUGCAGUCUGUGCAGUUGUGAGCUUGUGAGUGCAUGGCAGAUUCAAUUGUAGAUUUAUAAAGUACUUCAUCAGCCUUCUGAAGAUGGAGCCAGAUGCCUCAUCAUUUUUCUCUCCCCUCGUUGUCGGGGGACGCCUUGUUUUUGCAAUAAUUAACUGUGAGCUGCCAAUGUAGUAUAUUUGGUAAACUAACUCCUGUACAGAUAUUCAUUCUUUGCAAGAGGCAUUAUUUCCCAGAUAUUUUUUAUUUUCAAUACUAUAUUCUGAUCACAUUAAUUCAAGAGAGGUGAAGUCAAACUGCAGCACAUGCCAAGGGAACUGCUAGGGUGGUCAGGAGAAUGAAGAGCCUGUUUUAGGAGUGAAAACUAAAUUCUGAGUUUAGCUUGUUUAAUCCAGGAUUAGAGCAGAUAGGACUGCAGUCUUUACAUACCAGGAAAGGAAGAAUAAAGUAAAGGACACUAACAGACGAAGAAACUUGGUAAACAUGCCAACAGUAAUUUUAUAUAGGAGAUCUUAAGUUUCUAUGACAACUAAUGAGUAAAGAAUACUUGAAGACAAAAAGUUGUUAGUUUUAAUAUAAUGUUUGACAUGAGUAUGACAGUGUUCAUGGUUGUCAUAGCAAGGAACUGGACUCAUCAGCUUCCUCUUAUGAAUAUAGCAGAGCCAGUUUUUACAAGAGAAAAUCAUUAAUUUAAACUUUGUAAAGUAGUUGGGUAUUAGGUCCUACUGCCAGGUAAAAAAAAAAUCAUACAAAUAGCUGGAAGAUUUGAAGAAAAACAACACUUUCUGUUUUCUCUGUUAUUCUAUCUUUUUGCAUGUGCUUUUAACUACUUUUGGACAGAGGGCAGCAGAUUAGACACUGCAGGGGCACGUUAUUAGUUCUCAGAGAAAGGAUAAGCACAAUGACUGUGAUCUUACAGAUUUCAUAUGUUACAUAAAAAUAAAUUUAAGGAUCUUUUCUGUGCUCUCAUAAAAUAAUCUAUUUGAUUUUUAGAUCUUUUUGGAGAGAACUAAGUUACACAAAAGAAUAUGGAGACCAGGCUGCAGAUGAAAGCACAUUGAACACAAUCCAGUGUUUUUCCCUUUAUAACCAAUUUAUUUAUAUAGCUGUUACAGUGAGAUGACCAAAAUGGCAAAAGAACAAUCAAAAUUUUUCUGCAAGUGACAAUAGUGAAAUGAAGCAACAGUUUCUUAGCAACAAACUGGAAAAUACACUAAAUAAUAUCUUUUUCCUACUGAGGUUUGUGUGUGCUACAUUGCAAGCACUGUUCUGAAGUAGAUUCAUAUUUUUGAGCAUGUUUCUUUU